CAUAUUGUGAGCUCGAUGAGUAGGGCGGGACACGUGGUAUCCUGUCUGAAUAUGGGGGGACCAUCCUCCAAGGCUAAAUACUCCUGACUGACCGAUAGUGAACCAGUACCGUGAGGGAAAGGCGAAAAGAACCCCGGCGAGGGGAGUGAAAAAGAACCUGAAACCGUGUACGUACAAGCAGUGGGAGCCUCUUUAUGGGGUGACUGCGUACCUUUUGUAUAAUGGGUCAGCGACUUAUAUUCUGUAGCAAGGUUAACCGAAUAGGGGAGCCGAAGGGAAACCGAGUCUUAACUGGGCGUUAAGUUGCAGGGUAUAGACCCGAAACCCGGUGAUCUAGCCAUGGGCAGGUUGAAGGUUGGGUAACACUAACUGGAGGACCGAACCGACUAAUGUUGAAAAAUUAGCGGAUGACUUGUGGCUGGGGGUGAAAGGCCAAUCAAACCGGGAGAUAGCUGGUUCUCCCCGAAAGCUAUUUAGGUAGCGCCUCGUGAAUUCAUCUCCGGGGGUAGAGCACUGUUUCGGCAAGGGGGUCAUCCCGACUUACCAACCCGAUGCAAACUGCGAAUACCGGAGAAUGUUAUCACGGGAGACACACGGCGGGUGCUAACGUCCGUCGUGAAGAGGGAAACAACCCAGACCGCCAGCUAAGGUCCCAAAGUCAUGGUUAAGUGGGAAACGAUGUGGGAAGGCCCAGACAGCCAGGAUGUUGGCUUAGAAGCAGCCAUCAUUUAAAGAAAGCGUAAUAGCUCACUGGUCGAGUCGGCCUGCGCGGAAGAUGUAACGGGGCUAAACCAUGCACCGAAGCUGCGGCAGCGACACUAUGUGUUGUUGGGUAGGGGAGCGUUCUGUAAGCCUGUGAAGGUGGCCUGUGAGGGUUGCUGGAGGUAUCAGAAGUGCGAAUGCUGACAUAAGUAACGAUAAAGCGGGUGAAAAGCCCGCUCGCCGGAAGACCAAGGGUUCCUGUCCAACGUUAAUCGGGGCAGGGUGAGUCGACCCCUAAGGCGAGGCCGAAAGGCGUAGUCGAUGGGAAACAGGUUAAUAUUCCUGUACUUGGUGUUACUGCGAAGGGGGGACGGAGAAGGCUAUGUUGGCCGGGCGACGGUUGUCCCGGUUUAAGCGUGUAGGCUGGUUUUCCAGGCAAAUCCGGAAAACCAAGGCUGAGGCGUGAUGACGAGGCACUACGGUGCUGAAGCGACAAAUGCCCUGCUUCCAGGAAAAGCCUCUAAGCAUCAGGUAACAUCAAAUCGUACCCCAAACCGACACAGGUGGUCAGGUAGAGAAUACCAAGGCGCUUGAGAGAACUCGGGUGAAGGAACUAGGCAAAAUGGUGCCGUAACUUCGGGAGAAGGCACGCUGAUAUGUAGGUGAAGCGACUUGCUCGUGGAGCUGAAAUCAGUCGAAGAUACCAGCUGGCUGCAACUGUUUAUUAAAAACACAGCACUGUGCAAACACGAAAGUGGACGUAUACGGUGUGACGCCUGCCCGGUGCCGGAAGGUUAAUUGAUGGGGUUAGCGGUAACGCGAAGCUCUUGAUCGAAGCCCCGGUAAACGGCGGCCGUAACUAUAACGGUCCUAAGGUAGCGAAAUUCCUUGUCGGGUAAGUUCCGACCUGCACGAAUGGCGUAAUGAUGGCCAGGCUGUCUCCACCCGAGACUCAGUGAAAUUGAACUCGCUGUGAAGAUGCAGUGUACCCGCGGCAAGACGGAAAGACCCCGUGAACCUUUACUAUAGCUUGACACUGAACAUUGAGCCUUGAUGUGUAGGAUAGGUGGGAGGCUUUGAAGUGUGGACGCCAGUCUGCAUGGAGCCGACCUUGAAAUACCACCCUUUAAUGUUUGAUGUUCUAACGUUGGCCCGUAAUCCGGGUUGCGGACAGUGUCUGGUGGGUAGUUUGACUGGGGCGGUCUCCUCCUAAAGAGUAACGGAGGAGCACGAAGGUUGGCUAAUCCUGGUCGGACAUCAGGAGGUUAGUGCAAUGGCAUAAGCCAGCUUGACUGCGAGCGUGACGGCGCGAGCAGGUGCGAAAGCAGGUCAUAGUGAUCCGGUGGUUCUGAAUGGAAGGGCCAUCGCUCAACGGAUAAAAGGUACUCCGGGGAUAACAGGCUGAUACCGCCCAAGAGUUCAUAUCGACGGCGGUGUUUGGCACCUCGAUGUCGGCUCAUCACAUCCUGGGGCUGAAGUAGGUCCCAAGGGUAUGGCUGUUCGCCAUUUAAAGUGGUACGCGAGCUGGGUUUAGAACGUCGUGAGACAGUUCGGUCCCUAUCUGCCGUGGGCGCUGGAGAACUGAGGGGGGCUGCUCCUAGUACGAGAGGACCGGAGUGGACGCAUCACUGGUGUUCGGGUUGUCAUGCCAAUGGCACUGCCCGGUAGCUAAAUGCGGAAGAGAUAAGUGCUGAAAGCAUCUAAGCACGAAACUUGCCCCGAGAUGAGUUCUCCCUGAGACUUAGAGUCUCCUGAAGGAACGUUGAAGACGACGACGUUGAUAGGCCGGGUGUGUAAGCGCAGCGAUGCGUUGAGCUAACCGGUACUAAUGAACCGUGAGGCUUAACCUUACAACGCCGAAG
rnacentral:rRNA from 1 species